rnacentral:rRNA from 1 species
UACGGAGGGUGCAAGCGUUACCCGGAAUUAUUGGGCGUAAAGCGUCCGCAGGCGGCUCAUUAUGUCGAAUGUGAAAUUCUAAAGCCCAACUUUAGGUUCGUGUUCGAAACUGAUGAGCUAGAGUCUUUCAGAGGUAUGUGGAAUUUUGUGUGUAGGGGUUAAAUCCGUAGAUACACAAAGGAACACCAAAAGCGAAAGCAGCAUACUGGGAAAGUACUGACGCUCAUGGACGAAAGCGUGGGGAGCAAACGGG